AGUUACUGCCACCCUCUCCCAGGUCUAGAGAGGGGUACCCACGGUGGAGGGAGGUGGGAGGCCGAGACGGCCCCGGGGGUCGGCGGAGACCCAGCGGGAGCAGGGGGAAAUCGGAAGAGCUGGGGGCAUGGAGCGGGCGAGUUUGGAGCGGAAUGAGCCGGGAGCCCUACGUUGUGGAAGGAAGACAACAGUAUAGGACCAUCAGCAGGACCGGACAGAGAGGGGCACGGUUUCUCUGUAUAGCCCUGGCUGUCCUGGAACUUGUAGACCAGGCUGGCCUUGAACUCAGAAAUCCGCCUGCCUCUGACUCCCGAGUGCUGAGAUUAAAGGUGUGCACCACCACACCCGACAAGGAAGCCUGUUUUAAGAAGUGAUUCCAUGGAGGAGUUCUGCGGCGGCUCAGGGCUUGACUAAACAGUGGACCUCAGACAAGAGAGGCUAAACCAGGCUGCAGGUGACAGGAAGAAUUGAAUAAACUGAAAGCAAAGGGCAGCCUUCUAAUUACGCUUCGUGGCUAUGUGGACAACCUGGAGAAGUCUGGAAACAAGCCAGAAGCCCGAAGCCAGCAGUAGAGCUCUGACUGGCUUGUAUGCCUAGAAAGGAAGGGCUCUUCUUUCGCCUCACGGGCACAAAUGGGACCCACGAGCGCCGAUUUCAGACUAUUCUGAUCCCUUCAAAAAGAAAGUUAGGAGUCCAGGCUACUGUGAGUGAAUUUGAUUCUAAUUGUUUCAGAGAAUAUGGAAUAAAAUAUCUCAUUUGCA
rnacentral:lncRNA from 1 species